rnacentral:rRNA from 1 species
GACGUAGGGCGCGAGCGUUGUCCGGAUUUAUUGGGCGUAAAGAGCUCGUAGGCGGCUUGUCGCGUCGACUGUGAAAUCCCGCGGCUCAACUGCGGGUCUGCAGUCGAUACGGGCAGGCUAGAGUUCGGUAGGGGAGACUGGAAUUCCUGGUGUAGCGGUGAAUGCGCAGAUAUCAGGAGGAACACCGGUGGCGAAGGCGGGUCUCUGGGCCGAUACUGACGCUGAGGAGCGAAAGCGUGGGGAGCGAACAGG